GCCACCGUAGCUCAGUUGGUUAGAGCGGUUGUUUCGUAAACAACAGGUCGCGAGUUCAACUCUCGCCAGUGGCU
rnacentral:tRNA from 1 species